CAAAGGUGAGCCAGUACAGGAUGGACCCGCGUCUGAUUAGCUAGUUGGUAAGGUAACGGCUUACCAAGGCGACGAUCAGUAGCCGACCUGAGAGGGUGAUCGGCCACAUUGGAACUGAGACACGGUCCAAACUCCUACGGGAGGCAGCAGUGGGGAAUAUUGCACAAUGGGCGAAAGCCUGAUGCAGCAACGCCGCGUGAGUGAUGAAGGCCUUCGGGUCGUAAAACUCUGUCCUCAAGGAAGAUAAUGACGGUACUUGAGGAGGAAGCCCCGGCUAACUACGUGCCAGCAGCCGCGGUAAUACGUAGGGGGCUAGCGUUAUCCGGAUUUACUGGGCGUAAAGGGUGCGUAGGCGGUCUUUCAAGUCAGGAGUGAAAGGCUACGGCUCAACCGUAGUAAGCUCUUGAAACUGGGAGACUUGAGUGCAGGAGAGGAGAGUGGAAUUCCUAGUGUAGCGGUGAAAUGCGUAGAUAUUAGGAGGAACACCAGUUGCGAAGGCGGCUCUCUGGACUGUAACUGACGCUGAGGCACGAAAGCGUGGGGAGCAAACAGGAUUAGAUACCCUGGUAGUCCACGCUGUAAACGAUGAGUACUAGGUGUCGGG
rnacentral:rRNA from 1 species